GGGCCAUUGACAGGCUCUGGUGCUCCCCGCACACUUCGAACGCGAUCUGUAGGUGGAAGCCGGUGCGAGUCCGGCACGGUCGCGCCACUGUGAUCAAGCCUUCCCGCCCGUCCGGCGGUCGCUUGAGAGUCAGACCCACCUGCGGGUCCGGUCCGAA
rnacentral:ncRNA from 2 species